GAAAUACAGAAAAGUGGCACAAGUUGUGUGCGGUGCCAAGAUCCUGUGUGUGUUCUUCUACCUUGUGCGUGUGUCCCAUCAAAAUCCAGCCGCUCCGCCGGAUCUGCUGCUCUGGUCGUCGAUCUAUAGAUCCGUUCAUUGUCACCGGUGCCUCCUUCGACGUGACCCCCCUGCGCCUCCGUUCAUGGAUCUAUUUAAUGGCAUGCUCCUGCUUCAUGCCCCUAGCCCUUCCAGAUGCAACCCAUGGUGCCCUAGAGUUGGUUCACUAGAGUUCGGCCUUCCACGCCAUGCCUCCACCCAAGAUCCUAUGAGGACCGAUCUAUGUCCUUUACCGAGAGAUUGGAUUAAUAUUUGGCAUGAGGCGGUGGAGGCGAUGUUGAUCCCUAGAGGCCUAAUAUCCUUCUAAGGGGGUGUUUGGUUCAGGGACUUUUUAGUCCCAGAGACUAGAAAAAGUCCCUAAAAAGUCCCUAGGAACCAAACGGGAGGGACUUUUUCUACAGGGACUAGAAAAACACUCUACUAGAGAGUCUUUUUUGAUUAGUCCCUGGGACUAGAAAAAGUCUUAGGACUUCUGAACCAAACACCCCCUAAUUUGGGAAAGGAUGAACUUGAAGAUUCCUAUUUAUUUCUCUGCUGGUUUAACCAUUCCAGCUAACAUGUACUACAAGAUGCUUAUUGGAUGGACUAGCCAAAAGAUCAAGGAUAGCUAUAGUUCAAAUCCUAUCUAACUUCAAGCAGGGUACUUUCUUGAUAAAGCUUCCAAGUCAACCAUAUGCAAAAAUUAUAAAUGUUCAGUCAGCCUUCAGAAGAAGACCCACACUUCAAUCUUUGGCAUGAGAAGAAAAUUUAGUUUUCUUAUAAUAAAAUUGCUAGAUAGAUCGACUGGAUAUUAUGUCUGCUUGUCCAUUGUGUUGCUUCUGAGCGAAUGUUCUUAUUUGUAGUGUUGAAGAAAAACUUUUGUGAGACCUAUGCACUUUUAAGGAAAUAUGAUAUUUUGCUUCAUUUGCAGUUCCUUUACCGGAACGACAUUGAAGGUUUUCUCACAUUGCAGUUUGCCCCUUUGAGCAUUAUUCAUUAACAAUCCUGGACCUUGUGCACUUUUUUGAACACCUGGUAUGAUUAGCAGUGGGCUCCAUAAAAAAUAUUGUUUACACUUCCAGGGUAUUGCCCUCUCAGAAUUUGUGUUCUUUUUUCAUGUUUGCUAAUGGUGUAGGAACAUAUAUGUUUUGUCGCUAAAUAAAUUGCUCCUGUUGGCUUGUUAGUGCUUAGCACUUGUUCUGCUAUAGUGGAGAACAUGAGAUGUCUACCCUCUCUUAUGCUUUAGUGAAUUCUUACCUGCUUGGAGAUGAUGUCUUUCUCUUGGAGUUGAAUGUUGCUUUAUAGUUUGUACUUUGUACUCAUCGCUUUAUGUGCCCUAUGCUCAUUGGCCUUUUCCUGAUCAUUCCUUAAAUUAUGAUAAGCAUGUUUUCUUUUCGUUCAUUCUACGUGCCUUUGUUUGACGCUUCACUAUCUUCUGUCAUACGACGCUCCAGGUUCAUCUAGCAUCUAGGAUGGUUUGGUCAUAAAUUAAAAUUUUGUUUUCCAUAAUAUGAAAUUCUUCCUUAUACUUGUGUCUUAUAGAAAGUCACUCCUAGCUCGGUUAAUUAUGUAUAUAGUUGCAUUGAUACUAAACUAUGACACCCCUUGUCUUGAGUACCAUGAACUGUUUGUAUUGAAUCAGAAACAUCAUUGGCAAUUCACCGCUUGCAUUUCCCAUCGCAUUUAACUUAUCAACGCUAUUAUUUUCAUGAGCUGACUCCACAACAAUUCAGUUCUUUUACAGACCACUUAUUGUACAAAACAAGAUAUUCCCAGCCUAUGCAGAAGCGGACCGGAAGUCACAAGAAGUGCAUGGGCUAAAGGACACUCCCCUAGCAUACAGUGUUUCCAGAUAGGUUCCCCUCUUGCUUCCAUGAAGCUACCAUCCUAGGUCAGGCGCCACCAUGGAUGACAAAUCCUCUGCAAUGGCAGCCUCGUUUCUCAAGGUACCAACACAUGAUGACCUGCUGGUGAAGGGCCUUCCUCCAGUUAGUUUCCAGCUCUUUCUCAUUUCAUGGUUCUGUUAGGUACUCAGUUUCAUGACCCAUAGCGUACCGAUAUGGAUAUUUUACCUCUCCUUGAAUCAGAGCUAUCUCCCAUCUGUGUCACCAUUAGCAAACAGUUCAUACAUGAGCAAGCUAUAGAAAUAACUGGUGGCACAAUCCAUCAGUUCACCUUCACCAACAUAGGCAGCGACGACUUGGACGUCUCUGUCUCCAUUGACCUGCCCCCGCACAGCCAAAGCAUAUCAGCCACAAAAAAGAAAUUUCACGGACAAUGCGUUGAAUCUACGUGUGUUGCGGCCCUCAUAUACCUGUAGAACACAUGUAUAGUCAUGCGAUGCAAACUUUGCCGAGCUCAAAACAUGCAAAAGAAUACUUCAAGCCGAGAAGUUCUGGUCCUCGGCCCUCUACGAUCGAGCUGAGACUCUGCGUGACCAGCCCUCUUCACUGACUGCAAUCAACCAGGGUCCCCAAUCUAAGGCUAAAGAACGGGUUGCUGUAUUCACUCCUAAGCAUCAGAACACCACACAAAUGAACCAGAUAGUGUCC